rnacentral:rRNA from 1 species
ACACGUAGGGGGCGAGCGUUGUCCGGAAUGAUUGGGCGUAAAGGGCGCGUAGGCGGCGCGGUAAGUCUGGAGUGAAAGUCCUGCUUUCAAGGUGGGAAUUGCUUUGGAUACUGCCGCGCUUGAGUGCAGGAGAGGUUAUCGGAAUUCCCGGUGUAGCGGUGAAAUGCGUAGAGAUCGGGAGGAACACCAGUGGCGAAGGCGGGUAACUGGACUGCAACUGACGCUGAGGCGCGAAAGUGUGGGGAGCAAACAGGAUUAGAUACCCUGGUAGUCCACACUGUAAACGAUGAAUGCUAGGUGUAAGAGGUAUCGACCCCUUUUGUGCCGGAGUCAACACAAUAAGCAUUCCGCCUGGGGAGUACGGCCGCAAGGUUGAAACUCAAAUGAAUUGACGGGG